rnacentral:rRNA from 1 species
GCCCGCUCAGAAACUACAAGGAAGUUGACGGGGGCCCGCACAAGCGGUGGAGCAUGUGGUUUAAUUCGAUGAUACGCGAGGAACCUUACCUGGGCUCAAAUGUAUGUUGACGUAUUCUGAAAGGGAUACUUCUUCGGACAAUAUACAAGGUGCUGCAUGGUUGUCGUCAGCUCGUGCCGUGAGGUGUCGGGUUAAGUCCCAUAACGAGCGCAACCCCUAUCAUUAGUUGCCAUCAGGUCAAGCUGGGGACUCUAAUGAAACUGCCUACGCAAGUAGUGAGGAAGGUGGGGAUGACGUCAAAUCAGCACGGCCCUUACGUCCAGGGCUACACACGUGCUACAAUGGCCGAUACAAAGGGCAGCGACACUGCGAGGUGAAGCCAAUCCCGUAAAAUCGGUCUCAGUCCGGAUUGGAGUCUGCAACUCGACUCCAUGAAGUUGGAAUCGCUAGUAAUCGUGGAUCAGCAUGCCACGGUGAAUACGUUCCCGGGCCUU